AUGCAUAUUGGUAGUCAAUGGAUGCACGUCACCAUUGAUACCAUUGGAUGUUUGUGUAUGUUGCGCUCCUUGUUCUUAUCGUAUAUGUUGCUCAUGACUCAUGAGAAGGUUUUUUUUUUGUCGAAUAUGGCUACUGAAUCAUUCUUAUUAUGCUCGAAAUUCUUGCUCGUGUUUAUGGAAUAUGUUGGAGCUGCUACUGCUGCACCUUGCACUCUGGUUGAGGCAGGUACAUGCAUAUUGGUAGUCAAUGGAUGCACAUCACCAUUGAUACCAUUGGAUGUUUGGGCACCUAGUCCCAACACCUAA
rnacentral:rRNA from 1 species